UACGUAGGGGGCGAGCGUUAUCCAGAUUUACUGGGCGUAAAGCGCUCGUAGGCGGAUCUUUAAGUCAGAGGUGAAAUCCCAAGGCUCAACCUUGGAACUGCCUUUGAUACUGGGGAUCUCGAGUCCGGGAGAGGUGAGUGGAACUGCGAGUGUAGAGGUGAAAUUCGUAGAUAUUCGCAAGAACACCAGUGGCGAAGGCGGCUCACUGGCCCGGUACUGACGCUGAGGAGCGAAAGCGUGGGGAGCAAACAGG
rnacentral:rRNA from 1 species